GAUUUAUAAGAAACCCUUAGCUGAAUGCAGGGUGGGGAGAACAAAAGAAAGACAAAAGCCUCUUUUUUCAGAAGGGAAACUGAAAGAAAGAGGGGAAGAGUAUUAAAGCUCUUUAAAGGGAAACUGAAAGAAAGAGGGGAAGAGUAUUAAAGACCAUUUCUGGCUGGGCAGGGCAUUCUCAGCAGCUCAACUGCCCAGCGUGACCAGUGGCCACCUCUGCAGUGUCUUCCACAACCUGGUCUUGACUCGUCUGCUGAACAAAGCAUUUGAUCUCGGGCCGGCUGUGAACGUAGUUCCUGAGAGAUAGCAAACAUGCCCAACAGUGAGCCGUGUGUGUCUCCGCUGGAGCUGUUCAACAGCAUCGCCACACAAGGGGAGCUCGUGAGGUCCCUCAAAGCGGGAAAUGCAUCAAAGGAUGAAAUUGAUUCUGCAGUAAAGAUGUUGCUGUCGUUAAAAAUGAGCUACAAAGCUGCCAUGGGGGAGGAUUACAAGGCUAACUGUCCUCCAGGGAACCCAGCACCUACCAGUAAUCAUGGCCCAGAUGCCACAGAAGCUGAAGAGGAUUUUGUGGACCCCUGGACAGUACAGACAAGCAGUGCAAAAGGCAUAGACUAUGAUAAGCUCAUUGGUACG
rnacentral:sRNA from 1 species